rnacentral:lncRNA from 1 species
AGAACAGCCCAGGACUGACUAGAAGUGGGAAGAUGGAAUUUCAGAGCACCAUUCUGCCUCUUCCUUUAUGUGAUCUUGUAGGGGUCAGUGCAGACCACUGACAAUACUUAGACAUUACACAUGUGCCUUUAUUCUACCCUUUCAACAGUACCAAUGCAGUCCUGUUUGCUCAGUGUUCAUGCUGAAUGUCCCUAAUGAAGCUGUACCUAUAAGCCAUCUGGAUCACUGCAGAAAUGAUCAUCUGAAUUUCUCUUUUCUGAUGUCGGUAUUCCAGGACUGCCAGCCUGCCGACAGCCUCUGCAGAAACUCCGCACACCCUUCCGUUGAGUGUUCUGAGGAAGUAACCAUCUUCAGACAGAGCUGAAGCCGCCGUUGGAGGGAGGCUCAGGGACUUGAUGUACUGGGGCUGGCUGCUGGGCUUGUGUUCAUCAUUUCUGUGGCAUCUAGAUUCUUCUCCCACAGUUCAGGUAUAUGCCUGAACAUUUGUUAUAACUUC